AGCGAACGCUGGCGGCAUGAUUAACACAUGCAAGUCGCACGCUCAGCAAUGGGAGUGGCAGACGGGUGAGUAACGCGUGGGAACCUUCCCAGUGGUACGGAAUAGAUCAGGGAAACUUGGGGUACUACUGUAUGAUCCUGAGAGGGUAAAAAUUUAUCGCCAUUGGAUGGGCCCGCGUCGGAUUAGCUAGUUGGUAGGGUAACGGCCUACCAAGGAGACGAUCCGUAGCUGGUGUGAGAGAAUGAUUAGCCACACUUGGACGGAGAACACGGCCCAGUCUCCUACGGGGGGCAGCGGUGGGGAAUCUUGGACAAGGAGCGCAAGCCUGAUCCAGCCAUGCCGCGUGAGUGACGAAGGCCUUAGGGUUGUAAAGCUCUUUUGCAUGGGACGAUAAUGACGGUACCCGGAGAAGAAGCCCCGGCUAACAUCGUGCCAGCCGCCGCAGUAAUAC
rnacentral:rRNA from 1 species